AGGCUGAGGAGAGCAAGUGUGGCUGAAGGGCUGGGUAAUGAAGAUGCUCUCAAGCUACUGGAAAGGGAGCCUUAAGACCAAUGACAGUAUGAUAAUCAGAGGCAAGGAGGAGGUGCAGUAGGCAGGUGUGGGCUUGGAUUGUGACAUCAUAGGAAAAUCACCCUUUCAACAUCUCCUGGUCUCCCGUGCCAUCAGUUCCAAAUGAAAGAAUAGUUCAUUUGAUCUGCUCUAUUGACACCGAAGAGAAGACAAUAUGGCACUGUAAGCAG